rnacentral:misc_RNA from 1 species
UCAUACCCUGCGUUGGUCCUA